UGCCUGGCGGCAAUAGCGCGGUGGUCCCACCUGACCCCAUGCCGAACUCAGAAGUGAAACGCCGUAGCGCCGAUGGUAGUGUGGGGCUUCCCCAUGCGAGAGUAGGACACUGCCAGGCUUU
rnacentral:rRNA from 1 species